rnacentral:rRNA from 1 species
AACGAACGCUGGCGGCAUGCCUAACACAUGCAAGUCGAACGAGACCUUCGGGUCUAGUGGCGCACGGGUGCGUAACGCGUGGGAACCUGCCCUUAGGUUCGGAAUAACUCCCCGAAAGGGGUGCUAAUACCGGAUAAUGUCUUCGGACCAAAGAUUUAUCGCCUUUGGAUGGGCCCGCGUUGGAUUAGCUAGUUGGUAGGGUAAAAGCCUACCAAGGCGACGAUCCAUAGCUGGUCUGAGAGGAUGAUCAGCCAGACUGGGACUGAGACACGGCCCAGACUCCUACGGGAGGGAGCAGUGGGGAAUAUUGGACAAUGGGCGAAAGCCUGAUCCAGCAAUGCCGCGUGAGUGAUGAAGGCCUUAGGGUUGUAAAGCUCUUUUACCCGGGAUGAUAAUGACAGUACCGGGAGAAUAAGCUCCGGCUAACUCCGUG